AUGCUUGGCUGGGUCCCUCUCACCCUAAUUCCUGGGAUCUGGGGACAAAACUGGGAAAAGGAUGAAGAUGUGGGGAAAUGCUUGGCUGGGUCCUUCUCCAUCCAUUUUCUGGGAUUUGGGGACAAAGCCAGGAAAUGGAUGAGGAUGUGUGGGGAAAUGCUUGGCUGGUUCUCUCUCAGUCUCUUCCCUGGGAAUUGGGGACAAAACUGGGAAAAGGAUGAGGAUAUAGGGAAACGCUCGGCUGGGUCCUUCUCCAUCCAUUUUCUGGGAUUUGGGGCAAUUUGUGGACAAAGCCAGGAAAAGGGAUGAGGAUGUGGGGAAAUGCUUGGCUGGGUCCCUCUCCAUCCAUUUUCUGGGAUUUGGGGCAAAGCUGGGAAAUGGAUGAGGAUGUGGGGAAGAUCUUGGCUGGGUGCUCUCCAUCUGAUUUCUGGGAUUUGGGGACAAAGCUGGGACAGGGAUGGGACAGCUAUCCUGCUAUUCCAACUCUAUCCAUGCUCUUGGACAGGGAAUGGGAAUUCCCUGGGGCAGGGCAGCUCAGCUUCAUCCCA
rnacentral:lncRNA from 1 species